AUUGGGACUAGUCCGGGUGGCUUGGCGUCACCUGUAACCUGAAACUGCCAAUACGCAGGGGACGAAGUUUGAGGACGGCUGUGUCAGUCCUUCCUAUGUUGCAUGUUCCAACGUUGAUACCUUGUCCUGCGAGGUCAGCGGAUGUGAUGGAUACAUCCGGAGGGAUGUAUUAUCUCAUUGUUGUGGGCACCGGUUCAGGCCCGGAAGGGAGCAGACCUCACCGUAAACGCAUGGCGCCCGCAGGGUUGCGGGGCGGAGAAGGGAUAUGUAACAGAAGUUGGAUAUGCGCUUCCAACCGAGAACGUGUCCCAAU
rfam:Methanocorpusculum labreanum Z, complete genome.